rfam:Picea glauca, whole genome shotgun sequence.
ACAUGCCUACAACAUAGACUUAGUGCAUCAGAUCCCAUUAGAACUCCACAGUUAAGCACGCUCGGGCUAGAGUAGUACUAGGAUGGGUGACAGCCUGGGAAGUCCUAGUAUUUUACAUGCC